rnacentral:rRNA from 1 species
AUACAUGCAGUCGGACGGGAUUGCAGUACAGCUUGCUGUACUGCAUGAGAGUGGCGCACGGGUGCGUAACGCGUGAGCAACCUGCCCAUAUCAGGGGGAUAGCCCGGAGAAAUCCGGAUUAACACCGCAUAACACAGUAUUUCCGCAUGGAUUUGCUGUUAAAUAUUUAUAGGAUAUGGAUGGGCUCGCGUGACAUUAGCUAGUUGGCGGGGUAACGGCCCACCAAGGCGACGAUGUCUAGGGGCUCUGAGAGGAGAAUCCCCCACACUGGUACUGAGACACGGACCAGACUCCUACGGGAGGCAGCAGUAAGGAAUAUUGGUCAAUGGGCGCAAGCCUGAACCAGCCAUGCCGCGUGCAGGAAGACUGCCCUAUGGGUUGUAAACUGCUUUUAUCCGGGAAUAACCCCCUCUACGGGUAGAGGGCUGAAUGUACCGGAAGAAUAAGGAUCGGCUAACUCCGUGCCAGCAGCCGCGGUAAUACGGAGGAUCCGAGCGUUAUCCGGAUUUAUUGGGUUUAAAGGGUGCGUAGGCGGCCUGUUAAGUCAGGAGUGAAAGACGGCAGCUCAACUGUCGCAGUGCUCUUGAUACUGACGGGCUUGAAUGCCGUUGAAGAUGGCGGAAUGAGACAAGUAGCGGUGAAAUGCAUAGAUAUGUCUCAGAACCCCGAUUGCGAAGGCAGCUGUCUAAGCGGUAAUUGACGCUGAUGCACGAAAGCGUGGGGAUCGAACAGGAUUAGAUACCCUGGUAGUCCACGCCCUAAACGAUGAUGACUCGAUGUUAGCGAUAUACAGUUAGCGUCCAAGCGAAAGCGUUAAGUCAUCCACCUGGGG